rnacentral:rRNA from 1 species
CUGUAAGCCUGCGAAGGUGGCCUGUGAGGGCUGCUGGAGGUAUCAGAAGUGCGAAUGCUGACAUAAGUAACGAUAAAGCGGGUGAAAAGCCCGCUCGCCGGAAGACCAAGGGUUCCUGUCCAACGUUAAUCGGGGCAGGGUGAGUCGACCCCUAAGGCGAGGCCGAAAGGCGUAGUCGAUGGGAAACAGGUUAAUAUUCCUGUACUUGGUGUUACUGCGAAGGGGGGACGGAGAAGGCUAUGUUAGCCGGGCGACGGUUGUCCCGGUUUAAGCAUGUAGGCGGAGGUUCCAGGUAAAUCCGGUACCUUUUAACGCUGAGGUGUGAUGACGAGGCACUACGGUGCUGAAGUAACAAAUGCCCUGCUUCCAGGAAAAGCCUCUAAGCAUCAGGUAACAUUAAAUCGUACCCCAAACCGACACAGGUGGUCAGGUAGAGAAUACCAAGGCGCUUGAGAGAACUCGGGUGAAGGAACUAGGCAAAAUGGUGCCGUAACUUCGGGAGAAGG